GACGAACGCUGGCGGCGUGCUUAACACAUGCAAGUCGAACGGAAAGGCCCUGCUUUUGUGGGGUGCUCGAGUGGCGAACGGGUGAGUAACACGUGAGUAACCUGCCCUUGACUUUGGGAUAACUUCAGGAAACUGGGGCUAAUACCGGAUAGGAGCUCCUGCUGCAGGGUGGGGGUUGGAAAGUUUCGGCGGUUGGGGAUGGACUCGCGGCUUAUCAGCUUGUUGGUGGGGUAGUGGCUUACCAAGGGUUUGACGGGUAGCCGGCCUGGGAGGGUGACCGGCCACAUUGGGACUGAGAUACGGCCCAGACUCCUACGGGAGGCAGCAGUGGGGAAUAUUGCACAAUGGGCGGAAGCCUGAUGCGGCAACGCCGCGUGCGGGAUGACGGCCUUCGGGUUGUAAACCGCUUUCGCCUGUGACGAAGCGUGAGUGACGGUAAUGGGUAAAGAAGCACCGGCUAACUACGUG
rnacentral:rRNA from 1 species